GACAGCGUGGCUUAGUGGUUUGAGUGUUAGACUCGGAAGGACUCUGGAGAUCAGGGUUCGAUGCCCCGCUCAGCCA